UUGACAUCACAUUUGUCAUGCCGGUUGUUUGUUUGUUAUUUUAUCUUAUGUAAAAUGUAAAUAAGAUAAAAUUACAAUUUUAACAUGUUACAUUUAAAAUGAGGACGAUUCAACUCCAAUAUGAGCUAAUGGUGGAAUUUAUACAAAAAUUGGAAUAUUUGUGGGACCAGUCCAAUAUUUCUGGGAGCAGUGGGCCUACUGUAUUCCUACCACACCACUCACUGUUCCUCACGAAGCCUACCCUUCGCCAGCGCCUCCACCAAAACCACCGAUCCUCCAUCCGAGGAAGAUAGCUGGAAUCCUCCACCAGUGAAAAAACCUAAAGCGAGUUUGAUUAAAAUGUGUAUAGAUAAUGACAAGAAUGCUAUGCUAAGGAGCAUGAGAAAAGUUAUUAUUUUUUAUUAGUUGAUUAUUUUUUAUAACUUACUGUUAAUUUUAUAUUUAUUUGAAUUUUUCUGUUUUUAUGUUAUUUUAAAAUAUUAUCAAAAUAUUGUUAAUGCCAUUGUAUUUAUAAUAAUUAUUCUAACUGUGUCAAUACUGUGAAUGUGGUGCAUGUCUAUAAUUGGCAUAAGCACAUGAUCUUGUGUCUUCAUCUUGUUUUUCAUUAAUGUCUUAUAAUAAUAAAUAAAUAAAUUAUAUAUUAUUGGGAUUAAGAUUAGGAUAAAAUAGUUUUUAAGUUAGUUAAAUAAUAAUAAAUAAAAAAAUAAAAAUGUGUUUAUUGACAAAAGUUAGUACAAUAAGUUGCCGGGGCUUCCCAAAAAGUAAUCCGAAGAUACUUGUGUUGGGAUAAGCCUCACUCUUCCUUGUUAUACAAUUGUUUCGCUAAUUAUAACUACGUUAUUAGUUAUAUAUGUAUAUACAUUUUAUUAACUAUAAAAAGAGGAUUUUGUACUAAAAAGUAAUAAAACACUUGAAAUAAC